AUAUUGAGAAAUAAAAAAGUUGCUUCCCUCGGCAUUUUCAAUGUCUAGUGGUCAUUUGGCUGGUUUUGUCCAUUUCACUACUAUAGGGGGGGAGGUGUCCAAGGAGGGUGCUAGGCCAAGGUGCUAGCAACUUUGCCCAAGGUGCUAGCAACUUGGGCAAAGGUGCUAGCAACUUGGGCAAAGUUGCUAGCAACUUUGGCAAAAGAGGGCCUGCCGCGCCCCCCUGCGGCAGGAAUGGUGGGCCAGUGGUGGCGGGCGGGC
rnacentral:lncRNA from 1 species